GACGAACCGUGCAACCGUUAUUCGGAAUCACUGGGCAUAAAGGGCGCGUAGGCGGCUCCAAAAGUCAGGGGUGAAAUCCGGCAGCUUAACUGUCGCAGUGCCUUUGAUACUGUGGAGCUAGAGGGAUGUAGGGGUCUGUGGAACUUCCGGUGGAGCGGUGAAAUGCGUUGAUAUCGGAAGGAACGCCGGUGGCGAAAGCGACGGACUGGACAUCUUCUGACGCUGAGGCGCGAAAGCCAGGGGAGCAAACGGG
rnacentral:rRNA from 1 species